GGUUGGUCCCAGUGCAGUGGUAUUUACAACUAAUGGAUCACAACCAGUUACAGGCUUAUUUCUUCCUUCUCCACUCUCAUUGCUUCACUUGACUAGCCUGGA
ensembl:Y_RNA Y_RNA Y RNA